UGCAGUGCGCACCAGUGCGCUCUUUUUUUCUCAGAAUGUAACUGUUGAUUUGGCCACUCCUAAUGUUCCUGCUAUCUCUCUGAUUGAAUGUUUAUUUGUUGCAGCCUAAGGAUGGCCUGUUUCGCUUGCACUGAGAGCUCCUUUGACCCGAUGUUGCCAACAUGCACUACUUCAGUUCUUCCUUCAGUCCAUGAGGAGAACCCACAGAGAUGGAAAGAGAGGGAAACAUUAUACAACUGAUUGUGGGUGAAAAAAAACCCUGUAUUUUGAUGACAUAAAUGUUUUACUGUG